AGCCCCACUGUGGGCUCAGGGCUGUGAGCACCAUGGCCUGGACUCCUCUGCUCCUGGCGCUCCUCUCUCACUGCACAGGGUCCCUCUCCCAGCCUGUGCUGACCCAGCCGCCCUCCCUCUCUGCAUCUCCGGGAGCCCAAGCCAGACUCACCUGCACCCUGAGCAGUGGCUUCAGUGUUGGCAGCUACAGGAUAUACUGGUACCAGCAGAAGCCAGGGAGCCCUCCCCGGUAUCUCCUGAACUACCACACAGACUCCAUUAAGCACCAGGGCUCCGGGGUCCCCAGCCGCUUCUCUGGAUCCAAAGAUGCCUCGGCCAAUGCGGGGCUCCUGACCAUCUCGGGGCUGCAGCCUGAGGAUGAGGCUGACUAUUACUGCUUUACACCUGUUGGCAGAGGGAGCAGCUACCGUUACCCACAGUGUCUCAGAGGACGAGGAAGGGAGACCAAAACCCCUGGCCCAGAGGUGAUGACUGUCUGCAUUGGGUGUUAA